rnacentral:lncRNA from 1 species
AUCAAUCUAGGAGCAACAAUCAUCUUCCAUCUCAUCAUCAUUUAUAAACUAAUCAUCGCCCUCCAAAUUAUCAAGAUUAAAUACAAAAUUGACUUCCACUUCGUUGGAUGGCAGAUCAACCCUAUUCAAAGGAGUUGUCAUAAGUUCUUCAUCAACAAGGAGCUCAGUCAAUGUUUAUUCUUCCUCUUGAAAAAUUUUUUCUUCAUCU